rnacentral:rRNA from 1 species
CUGGUGCCAGCAGCCGCGGUAAUUCCAGCUCUAAUAGCGUAUAUUAAUACUGUUGCAGUUAAAACGCUCGUAGUUGAACUUAGGAUUAUUACAAGGUAUUUUACUUGAUUGUAAAAUUCUUGCUUAAUCCUUAUCUACUAGAUACUCUAUUCUGUACUUAAUUGUAUGGAAUAUCACCUAGCCAGUGGAACUUUGGUUUAAUGGUGCCUUUAUUGAUACCAGAGUGUAAAAACUUGAAGUAUUAACAAGGGAUCACACUAUUGAAUUGAAGUGGGGUUCUAGUUAAUUUACUUUGAGUAAAUUAGAGUGUUCAAAGCAGCCUCUUGGGGCUUUGAAUAGAUUUAGCAUGGGAUAAUAAAAUAGGAUUUGAUAACCUAUUUGUUGGUUUGAGUUAAUCAAAUAAUGAUUAAUAGGGACAGUUGGGGG